CUCUCUCGGGGAAGCUAGGAGCACUGCAGGAGUGCUGGAAGGAAGUAUGUAGCAUACUGAGCAAGAAAAGACACUGAUGGUCCUUCACAACUCUGGAGCCUGCAAUCUCCCGGGGAAGAUGCGCCCCCAAGGGGAAUAGUGCCAUGAAUGUUAUUGGGAUACACGGCUACUUUCUGAUUUGAGGCUUUCACCACAGGAAGGAAAUCAUGCUCGGUAUUGUAAUCUUGGUCAAAGGCCAUGAGUGGGGAGAUCAUAGGACUUAGGAGAACCAGAGGUAAUAGACCACUUCCAUCUGUGGCUCAUAAUGGAAUACAUUCGGAAAGGGAAGCCUAUAAUGAAAUGCACCUCAUAGGAUAUGCUGACCUCUUGGAGAGCACCAGGGCAUGGAAUUGCUCCACACAACCUAUGACAGAGAAAUCAUGACUGAAGGCUCUGGGUUGGAUGGUGACAUGCUGUUGCUUCUGCGUGAUGCUCUCACGAACUCACUAAGACUGACUGUGAGAACUGAGAAGACAGGAUUUUAAAGUAGGUUGAAUCGUCUGUGCGCACCUGCAAAAUGCUUUGGUGGCAGCUGCCGGGAGCCUGCAGCCUUCUUUGGAUUAAGGAGCAAAAUAAAAUUGAGUGCACAUCUUCUCAGCCUGACUUAAUGGCUCAUAAAUCACUUGUAAUAGAAAACAAGAAAUGGCCUGUUCUCUUCUGCAGCCUAG